ensembl:lncRNA
CACCAUGGACAGCAGUGACCCUCAGGGGGCAUCCCACAUUAUGGGGACCCUCCUGGGACACCCCAUAUUUCAGGGUCCCUUCCUGGGGCACCAUGGACAGCAGUGACCCUCAGGGGGCAUCCCACAUUAUGGGGACCCUCCUGGGGCACCCCCCAUUUCAGAGACCCAUGUGGGGCACCCCAAACCUCAGGGACCCUUCCUGGGCUACCCUGGACUCCAUAGACCCCUGUGGGACAUCCCAUAUUUUGGGGACCCUCCUGGGGCACCCCACAUUUCAGAGACCCAUGUGGGGCACCACAGACUGCAGUGACCCAUGUCGGACACCCCAUAUUUUGGGGACCCUCCUGGGGCUCCCCAGACUGCAGUGACCCUCCGGGGGCACCCCAAAUCUCAGGGACCCUUCCUGGGGUACCCUGGACAGCACAGACCCUCAUUAGGUAGCCCACAUUAUGGGGACCCUCCUGGGGCACCCCACAUUUCAGAGACCCCAUGUGGGGCACCCCAAAUCUCAGGGACCCUUCCUGGGCUACCCUGGACUCCAUAGACCCCUGUGGAACACCCCAUAUUUUGGGGACCCUCCUGGGACACCCCACAUUUCAGGGUCCCUUCCUGGGGCACCUCACAUUUCAGGGACCCUUCCUGGGGCACCACGGACUGCACGGACCCAUGUGGGACACCCCAUAUUUUGGGGACCCAGGUGUGGCACCCCACAUUUCAGAGACCCAUGUGGGGCACCCCAAACCUCAGGGACCCUUCCUGGGGCACCAUGGACUGCACGGACCCAUGUGGGACACCCCAUAUUUUGGGGACCCUCCUGUGGGACCCCACAUUUCAGAGACCCACGUGGGGCACCCCAAAUCUCAGGGUCCCUUCCUAGGGUACCCUGAACUGCAUGGACCCUUAAGGGGCAUCCCAUAUUUUGGGGACCCUCCUGGGACACCCCAUAUUUCAGGGUCCCUUCCUGGGGCACCAUGGACAGCAGUGACCCUCAGGGGGCAUCCCACAUUAUGGGGACCCUCCUGGGACACCCCACAUUUCAGGGACCCAUGUGGGGCACCCCAAACCUCAGGGACCCUUCCUGGGGUACCCUGGACUGCACGGACCCUUGUGGGACACCCCACAUUUCAGGGACCCACAUGGGACACCCCACAUUUCAGGGUCCCUUCCUGGGGCACCAUGGACAGCAGUGACCCUCAGGGGGCAUCCCACAUUAUGGGGACCCUCCUGGGCACCCCAUAUUUCAGGGUCCCUUCCUGGGGCACCAUGGACUGAACAGACCCAUGUAGGACACCCCAUAUUUUGGGGACCCUCCUGGGACACCCCAUAUUUCAGGGUCCCUUCCUGGGGCACCAUGGACAGCAGUGACCCUCAGGGGGCAUCCCACAUUAUGGGGACCCACCUGAGGCACCCCACAUUUCAGGGACCCAGGUGGGGCACCCCAAACCUCAGGGUCCCUUCCUGGGGCACCACGGACUGCAGUGACCCUUGUGGGACACCCCACAUUAUGGGGACCCUCCUGGGGCACCCCAUAUUUCAGGGUCCCUUCCUGGGGCACCAUGGAAUGCAUGGACCCUUGUGGGACCCCAUAUUUUGGGGACCCACAUGGGCCACCCCACAUUUCAGGGUCCCUUCCUGGGGCACCAUGGACAGCAGUGACCCUUAAGGGGCAUCCCACAUUAUGGGGACCCACCUGAGGCACCCCACAUUUCAGGGUCCCUUCCUGGGGCACCUCACAUUUCAGGGACCCUUCCUGGGGCACCAUGGACUGAACAGACCCAUGUGGGACACCCCAUAUUUUGGGGACCCUCCUGAGGCACCCCACAUUUCAGGGACCCAGGUGGGGCACCCCAAACCUCAGGGUCCCUUCCUGGGGCACCAUGGACAGCAGUGACCCUCAGGAAGCAUCCCACAUUAUGGGGACCCUCCUGAGGCACCCCACAUUUCAGGG